AGGAGUAAAAUUGUCAGCGUCUACCAAAUCAUCAGCAACAUUGAUAUGCAAACUAGGCUCACCGCAACUUUGUUGAUAUUUCUGCUUCAAUUGUUGUUGAUUACCAGCACCAAAUCUUCCAGAACAUCCAGAUGCUGGGCUCUUCAGAUUUGCCCUCAAAUCAGAAGAAAGUUUCGACCUUUGGGAAGAAGUUUUUGAAGCGGGCCUUCUAGCGGAUUGCCACUGGGAAAGGAAAGAAGGGUUCUUUCUAAAACUUUGUGAAGACGAUUUUUUGGGCACAUCAUUUUCGUUAGCAAUUGAUUUAUUAGAUCUAGGCCUGGAGGAAUUAGGAGCUGAUUUUGGGGCGGACUUGGCAAUGAGGGGUUUAUUUCUGAGUUUGAAAUUGGGAUCCUUCUGAAGAUGGGAACUCGAAGCAGAAGAAGAGGAGCGAGGUCUUGAGUUUGACGUGGAGGAAAGCAGAAACUU
rnacentral:lncRNA from 1 species